AUUGAACGCUGGCGGCAGGCCUAACACAUGCAAGUCGAACGAGUGGCGGACGGGUGAGUAAUGUCUGGGAAACUGCCUGAUGGAGGGGGAUAACUACUGGAAACGGUAGCUAAUACCGCAUACCAUCGGAUGUGCCCAGAUGGGAGUAGCUAGUAGGUGGGGUAAAGGCUCACCUAGGCGACGAUCCCUAGCUGGGCUGAGAGGAUGACCGGCCACACUGGGACUGAUACACCGUCCCGACGCCUACGUGAGGCAGCAGUGGGGAAUAUUUCACAAUGGGCGCAAGGCCGAUUCCGCCAUGCCGCGUGUGUGAAGAAGGCCUUCGGGUUGUAAAGUUCUUUCCGCGGGGAGGCGUUACCCGCAGAAGAAGCACCGGCUAACUCCGUGCCAGCAGCCGCGGUAAUAC
rnacentral:rRNA from 1 species